GACGAACGCUGGCGGCGUGCUUAACACAUGCAAGUCGAACGAUGAAGCCGGAGCUUGCUCUGGUGAAUUAGUGGCGAACGGGUGAGUAACACGUGAGUAACCUGCCCUUGACUCUGGGAUAACUGCGGGAAACUGUAGCUAAUACCGGAUACGACCCUCGGAGGCAUCUCCUGGGGGUGGAAAGAAUUUCGGUCAAGGAUGGACUCGCGGCCUAUCAGCUAGUUGGUGAGGUAAAGGCUGACCAAGGCGACGACGGGUAGCCGGCCUGAGAGGGUGACCGGCAAAACUGGGACUGAGACACGGCCCAGACUCCUACGGGAGGCAGCAGUGGGGAAUAUUGCACAAUGGGCGCAAGCCUGAUGCAGCAACGCCGCGUGAGGGAUGACGGCCUUCGGGUUGUAAACCUCUUUUAGCAGGGAAGAAGCGAAAGUGACGGUACCCGCAGAAAAAGCACCGGCUAACUACGUGCCAGCCGCCGCCGUAA
rnacentral:rRNA from 1 species